rnacentral:rRNA from 1 species
ACGUAGUUGGCCGCACCUUCUUCUGCAGGUACCGUCAUUUUCUUCCCUGCUGAAAGCGGUUUACAACCCUAGGACCUUCUUCCCGCACGCGGCGUUGCUGCAUCAGGCUUUCGCCCAUUGUGCAAGAUUCCCU